rnacentral:lncRNA from 1 species
CUUUUUUUUUUUUUUUUUUUUUUGUCACAUGUGGUUACUGAAACUUCUGCUUAUUUACGUUAGUGGUCAGCUAAUGAUUUGACAGAAAUUUUCUUAAGUGCCUGGAAUGAAGAAACCUUUCAGUAUGUGCAGAGAAGUUCCAGGUGCAUGUUGGGCUACACCUUCAACAAUCAGCCAUGCCAUUGACAGCUCAGUGGUAGCCUUCAAUUGCUGCAGGCACAGAGACUCAGUGUCAGCCAGAGGUGAAAGAUUAGGGUCUUCUCAGGUACUUACUGUGUAUGCAUGUAGUGCUGCACAUGUAUGUGGCCUUCUAGAUCCCAAGGAAUGUCAAAGCUUUUCAAGUCCUUCUAUGGACAUCUCCUUCCUCAAAUUUUUCCUUUUUUUUAGUUAGCUUCCCUGCACAACCCCCCCCCCCCCCCCACACACACACCCUGUAUUAGUGCUUUAGGUGUUUUCAGUGUUAAACAAUUGUUUUUAACAAAUGCUGAGGGGCUAGAGUUUUUUCCCAUUGAGUGAUCUCUGAGUUAGGUCCAGUAAACACAAGUCCUGAGAUGGGGCUUUUCCAGAUAUCUGCCAGUUCAAAUAAUGACAGUUCUCUGGGAGGGGGCCUUUUUAGGGAGCUCCAGUCCCAUUUUGCCUUCUCAGGGACUGCUAGAGUGCUGUUUUUCUCAGUCCCCAUGGCUGCAGGGAUGCUGGGGACUGUGAUGCUAGGGAGAGAGUGAUGGAAAUAGGGAAAAUUAAAAUCCCACAAAGCUCAGUGUUCUUAUUGAGACUCAGCCAUUUUUCAUGAUAAAAUUAUCAUUGUAAUGUUGUAAGCCUUUUGUUAAUUUCCAUAAUUUUGAAAAAGUUGAUAUUGACAAUUUUUGGUAGUACAGCUUUUAUGCUUUUAUGGAGGAGUAGAUUUUGAGAGGUUCUUACUUGGCUAUUCUGGAAGUGCUUCCCCCUCCUACUGAAUUUUACCCCUGUCUGCUACAAUGUGAUGUUACAUUUGAUUGGUUUCUUUUUUCUCUUUCCUUAAAUAUUUUGAAAAAUAAUUUAAUUUAUAUUAUAAUUAAAAUUUAUAAUUUUUAUUAUCUCUUUCAUCUCUGUUUUUUUCACCCCUUUUUACAAGUAUAUAUAUACCUGUAAAAAAAAUAUAUGUGUGUGUGUAUAUAUACACGUAUAUAUACGUACAUACAUACAUACAGGUAUAUAUUUUUAAAAUCUCUAAAUUGAGGUAAAAUACAUAUAAAAAAUUUUGCCAUCAGUUCACCAUUUAAAAUGUGCAACUUAGUACUUUUUAGGACAUUUACGUUGUUGUGCAACGAAUCUCCACAAGUUUUCAUCUUGAAAAACUGAAAAUCUCUACCCAUUAGACAAAAACUCACCAUUUUUCCUUCCCUGUAGUUCCUGAAACCAUCGUUCUACUUUCUGUCUCUAUGAAUUUGACUACUGUAGGUAUCUCAUAUAAGAUAUAGUAUUUGUCUUUUUGUGACUGAUUUAUUUCAUUUAGUAUAAGGUUCUCAGCAUUUAUCCAGGUUGUACCAUGGUUCAGAAUUUCCUUUCUAAGGCUGAAUAAUAUUCUGUUGUAUGCAUAUACUACAUUUUUUUAAUCUGUUCAUCCAUCAAUAGACAUUUGUAUUACUUCUGCCUUUUUGCUAUUGUGAAUAUGGACAUAGAUAUACACAUAUCUCUUUUAAUUCUUUUUAGUAUAUUAAUUUUUUUCUUUGCAUGGCAGUAUCUAUAGAAAUAACCAACUUGAUAGUUUUCUUAAAUAGGUUAGUACACAUACGGAGUUUCUCAGAUUUUGCUACAUAAUACAUUCUUCAUUAGACAUAACUAAGUAUUAUUUUCUGAUUCUUCCCAGACUUAGACGUUACCUCGCUGGUUCUUCCACUUUCAAGCUGGUAAAGUUUAAAAAUUUUUAAAUGACUUGAAGCCAUGUCAGGGGUUAGGAAAUAAAUUACAAAAUUAAAUAGAAUCCAACUUCCAAUUCCUCAUUUAUUUAUUUAUUUUUUUUAAAAAUUUUUAUUUAUUUAUGAUAGUCACAGAGAGAGAGGCGCAGAGACAUAGGCAGAGGGAGAAGCAGGCUCCAUACACCGGGAACCUGAUGUGGGAUUCGAUCCCGGGUCUCCAGGAUCGCGCCCUGGGCCAAAGGCAGGCGCCAAACCACUGCGCCACCCAGGGAUCCCUCAAUUCCUCAUUUAAACCUUCAGUUGCUAUGUUUUAGUAUUUUCUUUAUGUAUCUAAAUAAAAAAUAGUGUAGGAAUAAGAAUUCUUGUCAUCCUUUUGAAUAAGCAACCAACAUGGCAUUUCAUGGUCUCAAUUUUGUUGAUUAAUGAGGAGGUGUUUGGGGAAACAUAUUUAGGGAUAGAAAGUAACAGGUUGAGUUAUAUCAAUAGAUGUGGCCAUGCGUUCUUUGUACAUUUGAGGAGCACACUCAAAUCCCUGCACCAAGUAGGCAGGUAACAUAAAUCUGUGAAGCAAACUAGAUGAGGACUCUGGUAAGCUGGACCUUACAUGUGAUUCCUAAAAGGAGAACUGUUACCAGCUCCUACCAGAUUAUUGCCCCAAGAUGCCCGAUAAACUAGUUUUUCAAGAGAAAACAGAAAUUAGAAUUCUUAUGUGAAAUCUUAUUUUAAAAAAUGGGCAAAUAAUUGAAAAA